UCAACCAUGGUAGAAAUACCAGGUAACAACAUAGGCGAAAAUUACAACAAAGCAAAUGUUGUCGGAACUUGAUAUGUCGAAAUUGAAAUUUUGUGAAAAGCAAACAAAAAGUCGAAGACUCGAAAUAAGACAAGAAACCAUGAAACAACCACCAAAAUGAGGAUAAUUUACAAAGGCUGCUGCUCCAAACAAUGAAUUUUGCCGUGGAUUUCUAAAAAUGUAGAUUCAACACAUAAAAUCCUCAAAUUUUAAAGAGAAUUACCGGCUCUUAAAUCGUGGAUAUUUGAAGAACAUUCCGGGUCUCAGAUGUGGCUAUAUCUCGAAAGCAUAUUUGCGGAUCUCAAAUAGUGGAUUUGUUGAUUUAUUUCAGACCUAAACAUUAUUAUUUUUGAAAUGAGACCAAUUGUUUAUCUUGAAGUCCUAAAGGAUAAAAGUCCAAGUUUUAAGAAAAAAAGUUCAGUCGGAGCUUCGACAGAAAUAUAUCCUCAGAAUUUGACCACUUA